AUGCGAGACCAGGAAAUACAGUCGGCCUGGCUUCCGCCACGGGAGCACGACGUCAAGAUGAACGUUGAUGGUGGCCUCUCCAAAAUUGGAGAUCGUGGCGCUUCGGCGGUGAUAUGCAGGGAUAGGCAGGGCCUGUUCCUUGGUGCCUCCGCAGUUAUCUUCGAAGGGUUGCUUGAUCCAACUAUACUAGAAGCCCAGGCGUGUAACGAAGCUCUUGCUCUUGCUGCGGAUCUUCAUGUUCACUCCGUGUGUGUUGCAUCGGACUGCCUCGAGGAGAUCAAGCAUAGAAGACGCUCUAUCCAAGACAUUCAGUUUGUGCAUGAGAAUAGGAAACAUAAUGAGGAAGCCCAUGCCUUAGCUAAGGCGGCUGCUUCUCUCCCACCCGGGCGCCACGUGUGGCUUACUGAUUUGCCCGACAUCAUUUGUAUCCCUAUGUUUUUGAACGUUGAAUAA
rnacentral:rRNA from 1 species